rnacentral:rRNA from 1 species
GAUGAACGCUGGCGGCGUGCCUAAUACAUGCAAGUCGAGCGAACAGACGAGGAGCUUGCUCCUCUGACGUUAGCGGCGGACGGGUGAGUAACACGUGGAUAACCUACCUAUAAGACUGGGAUAACUUCGGGAAACCGGAGCUAAUACCGGAUAAUAUAUUGAACCGCAUGGUUCAAUAGUGAAAGACGGUUUUGCUGCCACUUAUAGAUGGAUCCGCGCCGCAUUAGCUAGUUGGUAAGGUAACGGCUUACCAAGGCAACGAUGCGUAGCCGACCUAAGAGGGUGAUCGGCCACACUGGAACUGAGACACGGUCCAGACUCCUACGGGAGGCAGCAGUAGGGAAUCUUCCGCAAAGGGCGAAAGCCUGACGGAGCAACGCCGCGUGAGUGAUGAAGGUCUUCGGAUCGUAAAACUCUGUUAUUAGGGAAGAACAAAUGUGUAAGUAACUAUGCACGUCUUGACGGUACCUAAUCAGAAAGCCACGGCUAACUACGUG